GGAUUGCCUCAGUAACGGCGAGUGAAGCGGCAAUAGCUCAAAUUUGAAAUCUGGCCUCUCGGGGUCCGAGUUGUAAUUUGUAGAGGAUGUUUUGGGUACCGCCCCGGUUUAAAUUUCUUGGAACAGAAUGUCAAAGAGGGUGAGAAUCCCGUCUUGGAUCGGUGGUAGGGCCUAUGUAAAACUCCUUCGACGAGUCGAGUUGUUUGGGAAUGCAGCUCAAAUUGGGUGGUAAAUUUCAUCUAAAGCUAAAUAUUGGCCAGAGACCGAUAGCGCACAAGUAGAGUGAUCGAAAGAUGAAAAGCACUUUGAAAAGAGAGUUAAACAGUAUGUGAAAUUGUUGAAAGGGAAGCGCUUGCAACCAGACUUGAGCGCGGCGGUUCCCCUCGCCUUUUGGCGAGGCUACUCCGUCGUGUCCAGGCCAACAUCGGUUCUGAGGGUCGGUUAAAGGCUCUGGGAAUGUACCUACCCACGGGUAGACUUAUAGACCAGGGUGUCAUGCGACCUCCCGGGACCGAGGAACGCGCUUCGGCUCGGAUGUUGGCGUAAU
rnacentral:sRNA from 1 species